ensembl:miRNA Gm54602 predicted gene, 25238
GUCCCCCCGGGAGUUCUCGGCCUGGAUCCGGGAUGGACGACGAGGGCCGCGGCGGCGGCGGCGGGGGCAGCGGCGGGGCCGGCGGAGGC